rnacentral:rRNA from 1 species
AUUGAACGCUGGCGGCAUGCCUUACACAUGCAAGUCGAACGGUAACAGGUCUUCGGAUGCUGACGAGUGGCGAACGGGUGAGUAAUGCAUCGGAACGUGCCCAGUAGUGGGGGAUAGCCCGGCGAAAGCCGGAUUAAUACCGCAUACGACCUGAGGGUGAAAGGGGGGGAUCGCAAGACCUCUCGCUAUUGGAGAGGCCGAUGUCAGAUUAGCUAGUUGGUGGGGUAAAGGCCUACCAAGGCAACGAUCUGUAGUUGGUCUGAGAGGACGACCAGCCACACUGGGACUGAGACACGGCCCAGACUCCUACGGGAGGCAGCAGUGGGGAAUUUUGGACAAUGGGCGCAAGCCUGAUCCAGCAAUGCCGCGUGCAGGAAGAAGGCCUUCGGGUUGUAAACUGCUUUUGUCAGGGAAGAAAUCUUCUGGGCUAAUACCCCGGGAGGAUGACGGUACCUGAAGAGUAAGCACCGGCUAACUACGUGCCAGCCGCCGCAGUAAUAC